UACGCUCAGAGUCCCCAUCUGGUUUCAACCUGCCUCUUCCCCUCUGCCCCCCCCAUCUUCCCUGAAUUCCAGCCUCCAGGGUGGUACCCAUGUUCCGGGACCCACUUCUGAGUGCCAGCCGGAGCCCAUGCAAGGACCUCUCCUUGGUAUGCCCUUCUUCUCCCUUCUUCUGGUCCUAUCGUGACAGGUGACUUAGACUGGCACACGUGACGCCCACACCUCCCACAGGAGCCCAAACAGACGGAGACAGUUGGCCGGACUGGCAAGGAGUGCUGCUGUGGGUGGCGCCCAGGGGUGUCGCUACAUCCUGCUGUGUCCAGGACAGCCCCACAACGAGGAAUUGUCAGCCCCAAAGGUCAGUCGUGCUGAGAUGGAGGAACCCCGCCCCAAAGGCUUACCCCCAUGGACAAGCAUCACAGCAAAUCUGGGAAGCUCCUUAGACAUGUAGACUCCUGGGCCCCACCCCAGACCAUGUACAUCAGACUCUGCGUUUGAGCAGCGCCCCCCAGAGGAGUUCUGUGUUCGUUUGAGACCCAGACUGCACAGUGAGGUAGCC
rnacentral:lncRNA from 1 species